UGGGACUUUGAGCAACCUGGUCUGCUGGGAGGUGUCCCUGCCCAGGGAAAGGGGUGUUGGAACUCAAUGAUCUUUAAGGUCCGUACCAACCCAAACCAUUCUGUGAUUCUAUGAAAUGUUGAGGAGAUCUGAGGUGACCAGGUUGUCAGCUGGGGUGAAGUGCGCUCCGCUGAGCUGCCAUAGCUGGAACCUAGCUCUGCUCCUUUCCAUUGUGCUCGCCCAUGGGCAAGGUUAAUGGAGCUGUAGGCUGCCGUUAUCUGUGUAUUCAUUGUCACUCUUGCCAUUGUCAGCCUCAGCUUUAGUGAGGAGGAGCCACAUGAGCCUGGCUGCCAAGGUGUUACAGUUCAGUGAGGAGGCAGAUUCCUUAAACUCCUUGUGAAGACUGACUGAUAGUUUAAAAAAAAAAUAAAUUAACUGUAAACGUGCAUCACAUGAGACACUCUCUGAGCCCUGACAGUUUUGUCAUUGCACUUUUCGUUUACCCUUGGUCCUUGAACAGCAGCGAGUCUUUGAAACCGUGACCCGUUUGCCCGAGGACACAGCGGCAGAGCGUGGAGCCCAGGUAGGAGGCAUAAAGCAAGGAAAUGUGGGAGUUGAUUAAGUCCUUACAAGACAAUUUGCAGCUGCGUCUAUAUCUGUCUUUCUUCAGGUGGGUUUGUGUUUGAAUUGGGGUUUUUCACUAGUCAUAAAGUGAGUAUACUUUGGCAGCGUGAGGUCUUCAGCUGAGUUAGUAAUCGAGGCUGGACCUGUGCCCAUCGAUGCGGUCUCUGCCGCUCUUGCUGGAGCCACAGGAGUGCGGGGAGCUGGUUUUGUAGAAGAGCCAGUGUCAGACCAGGAGUCACCCCACAGGGAUUUGUGUCAAGGAUUUUGGGGUUUAAACCCCAAAGGUGUUUGCAGUAGGUGAUCUAAAGGGAAUAGCAGCCCUUCGGUUUGCAUACAGAGUAUCGGGCUCUGCUGGCCCGUUGUUCCUCCUGUGUCUGAGAGCCUUCAUCCCCACCAUUAGGCACAGCAUUCCUCGGGCUGGUGACUGCUCCGGUGACGAAUGGCUUUCCUUCCAUAUAGACAUCCAAAGGGUAUAUUUGAGACAUAGUCUGUAACAACGGGUCACGCCUUUGCUGCAGCUUAUUGUCAGUCUUUCUAUAAAGCACUGAGAAAGCCUCUCUGUGAGUGAACACCAUUUUGCUUUAGGCGCUUGAAUAAAAAUAUAAUUAAGAAAAAAGACUUUUCUUUAUAUGCAGUGCAUGCUGGCUUUGCUUUUAAAAUGAUGAACUUAACAGAGUAUGUGGAUCUAUUUUCUUGGGGAAUAGGGGGUUUUAUCGUAGGAUUCAUCCAGGAUUUGCCUUACCAUAACAUUUGUGAUAUAAAGGAAUGUUUAAAAAAAAAAAAAACCUUCAAAAAAAAAUUUAAAAAGGUAAUUUUCUUGAUCCAAAAAUAUGUUUUUAAGUCAAUGCAGAGAAAUGUAGACUGCUGCUUGCAAAAUGUUUUCUGAUAGAUGGUCUAUCAGCUGUAUUGGUUAACACAGGCCUCUUCUGUUACUCUGUCAUUUACAUGCUGAAUUUGCCUCCAAGUCUGUUAUUUUUCCUUUUGUCUGUGCCCUGUGUUCGAAAACUUAAAGAACCGAUGCCUUCAUACUAUGAUGUUUGUUAAAGCAAAACGUUAAUAAAGCUUGUCCUGAAGAUGAGGCGAUGCCAUCUGCCUGUUUAUUCCCUCUUAACCCUGCUGAUUGGUAUUUGUGUUUAUUCCCUCCUAACCAAGGCUUGCUUCAGUUGUUGAUGUUUCAGCUUGGACCUGUGAUCACCGACGCACACAGCUGGAUCCUUGUUUAAAUUUAUUCUUCACUUGACGGCGGAGUCUUGUGAGACAUGGAUACCUUGGAGGGAAUUUUUUGGAUGACAUCAGCAAAUGAUGGGAAGACCUACAUUGCUUGAAGCCAGCCCUGAGUCCAGCUCAUCAAGCAUGCGGGAGGUCCUCGCCCCAGCAGCUGCCUUUGCUCUGAGCUGAAAUAAGCCUUGUCUCAAUGAGUUCAACAAGGUUUUGGAGAGAGUGGUGCUCAAGGAGCUUUGCAGGACUCUUGUGACACCAGGUAAAUGUGCUCAAGAAGAUCCUGGGACCACUGUGAGAUUGCAGACCCACAAGCCAAGGAGCAUCCAACAGGCAUCCUGAGCCCUGCAAGGCACAUCAUCUCUGCACCAGAAGGGGUUGAUGUUUAUUUUUGCACCAUUGGAGAGGCCAGGUGCUGAGGAGGGGGUGAUACCACCCCUCCCAGCCAAAGCACUUUGCAUGAGGAGGGGCGUUCAGUGUCCCAAGUGGUGAGUGCCCCAAGAGUGUAGAUUCAUCUAAAAUACAGGAUUUAAUCUGUAACACAGACUAUUAUAAUACAGAUGUAGUAUGUAUAGUAUGCAGUAGAUGUACUAGGUAUGACAUAUACUACUAGUAUUAGAUGAUGUCUAGUUAAUGUAUUUUAGACAGUAUAAUGUAUAUUAUUAUGUGCUGUACUUAUGUCUAAUUCAAUUAAGCUGUUAACUCUAAUAGAAAAUGUGUUUUAGAUUAACCCAUUUUUAUACACUCUGUAAACAGUGCAGGUAAAGCCUGGAAUAUAAAGUAAACAUAUAACACCUUGUAUGUACAUACUAUGUAACUUAUAGCCUACAGGUACCGACUAGUAUGGAGAUAAUAUAUACCAGCUAUCUACUAAAAUACUCUAUUAUAGGGCAGAUAGUAUAGAUAAAAUAUAUACUAUGCACUGUUUUAGUCAACAUAUGAUAUGUAACAAAAUAGAGUCUACAACACACUAUACUGUUAGUGGCAUUUUGUGAAGUGUAUAUGUAACUUAGGCGCUACAUCUGUACAAAACAGAAUAGUCUAUAUUAUGUACUAUAUAAGCUCUAGCCUAUAAUACUCUGAUUUGUGAACUAUUCCUAUAUGAAAUGUAGGCGUUCCUGCUUUAGCAGGGGAGUUGGACCAGAUGAUCUCUAGAGGUCCCUUCCAACUCAGACAAUUGUGUAUUGGUAUUGUGCUAUAUAGUAAUUACAUCAUCAUACUAAGUUGUCUCUGUACACAGUGUCAAUAGCAAGGUACAAGACAUGACAUUACAGAGAACAGGUAAUAUGAUUAUAUAUAAUAAAUUAUAUGUAAAUAUGUCAAA